CCAAUAGCGUAUAUUAAAGUUGUUGCAGUUAAAAAGCUCGUAGUUGAAUUUCGAGAUCGGCUUACUGGUCGUGCUUUUGUACGUACUGGUAUAAUCGGUUUCUCCUUUCUGACGAACUUUAAUGCCAUUAAUUUGGUGUUUUAGGGAAUCAGGACUGUUACUUUGAAAAAAUUAGAGUGUUUAAAGCAGGCUCACGCUUGAAUACAUUAGCAUGGAAUAACGGAAUAGGACGUUUGAUUCUAUUUUGUUGGUUUCUAGGAUCGACGUAAUGAUUAAUAGGGAUAGUUGGGGGCAUUAGUAUUCAAUUGUCAGAGGUGAAAUUCUUGGAUUUAUUGAAGACUAACUACUGCGAAAGCAUUUGCCAAGGAUGUUUUCAUUAAUCAAGAACGAAAGUUAGGGGAUCGAAGACGAUCAGAUACCGUCGUAGUCUUAACCAUAAACUAUGCCGACUAGGGAUCGGAUGAUGUUAAUUUUUUAAUGACUCAUUCGGCGCCUUACG
rnacentral:rRNA from 1 species